CCCCCCCCCCCCCGCCCCCCAACAAAUGAGCAUUGUAUUCUUUCGCUUGGUUACAAACUCCCAUUUGGACCAGAUUGCCACCAUAAAAAUAGCCUAAAGUACAUAUUUUGUGUCCAAAAUAUGAAAAUUUGUAUUGUCUUGAACCUCUAAAUGAGAGCUGGCAAUGCAUUUGACCAUCUGCUGCAGUUAAAAGGCACCCAUGACAUUAUAUGCUAGAAUAUUUCAUUGGCGGCUGGUAAAUAAAUGGGCACCGAUCGACAAGGCGCUUUCAAGAUUGUACACUUUUAUUGGUGUGAAAUAACAAGUUAUUGGAAGCUUAUUGAUUUCUACACUUCAAAGUAUCUUUGAUCUCUCAUUUUGACUAAUUAGUUUAUUGUCUUGGAUGAAAUUGGAUUGUUUUUGCUUUGAAAUUGGCAUUUUUGGGAUGAUUAAAAAAAAACACACAAAAAAGACAUUAUCAAAAUUGCUUAGAGUGAAAAUAUCUAACAAAUUCAUUCUUUCCCCACCACACAUUAGCCCCACUUGCAUGUCUUUUUGGUUUGUUUUGGUAUUUUGUUGCAGAUAUUGAACACAACAGCUUUUAAUCUUAAAGGGGCAGUUAAGCUUUAACAGGCCUAAUAUGGCCUUCUUCGGACUGAAAACACCCGCGUGUGAAAAUAUGAUACAGAAUGGCCAAAUGGACAGCUAAUCCAGCCAAACUUAAUAUAUUGGUGCAAUAUGGAUGGGAUGAUAAUAAUAUGAAAGAAAAACACAUUUCAGUAAAAAUAAAUUUCUCUAAUAGGUUACAAUACACUAAAUACUUUUGGUGUUCAAUGCUAUACCCUCUAAAAACAAAAUCUUCAUUUAUUUGAAGACACAAUUCUCUGUACGGGCACUUGCCAUGACUUUAUUUUUGAAUAUUUCUGUGUUCAUGUGGUAGGGAAAACAUUGUUGUAUACUACAAAUUCCCUGUUUUGCUUUUAGGUUGGAGACUACAUAAGACUUUGACAGUUGGCGGGAAACCAUCAUCAACUGGAGAGAUGCCGGAAGAGGAAUGUCUGCGACUAAGUCAAGGGCCACUGGAUAAGGGUUGUUGAUGGCAAAACAGGUUGGAGACUACAUAAGACUUUGACAGUUGGCGGGAAACCAUCAUCAACUGGAGAGAUGCCGGAAGAGGAAUGUCUGCGACUAAGUCAAGGGCCACUGGAUAAGGGUUGUUGAUGGCAAAACAGGUUGGAGACUACAUAAGACUUUGACAGUUGGCGGGAAACCAUCAUCAACUGGAGAGAUGCCGGAAGAGGAAUGUCUGCGACUAAGUCAAGGGCCACUGGAUAAGGGUUGUUGAUGGCAAAACAGGUUGGAGACUACAUAAGACUUUGACAGUUGGCGGGAAACCAUCAUCAACUGGAGAGAUGCCGGAAGAGGAAUGUCUGCGACUAAGUCAAGGGCCACUGGAUAAGGGUUGUUGAUGGCAAAACAGGUUGGAGACUACAUAAGACUUUGACAGUUGGCGGGAAACCAUCAUCAACUGGAGAGAUGCCGGUAAAAAGAUGGCCAUAAAACAGUGACCGCUGAUUCGCAUUGAGUUCUUUCUUACAUAUUGGAUGACCUAUGUUUUUUAUUGUUUAAAUCAUUGCGGCUUGGAAUGCUCUUUAAGAAAAGGAAGAGGAAUGUCUGCGACUAAGUCAAGGGCCACUGGAUAAGGGUUGUUGAUGGCAAAACAGGUUGGAGACUACAUAAGACUUUGACAGUUGGCGGGAAACCAUCAUCAACUGGAGAGAUGCCGGUAAAAAGAUGGCCAUAAAACAGUGACCGCUGAUUCGCAUUGAGUUCUUUCUUACAUAUUGGAUGACCUAUGUUUUUUAUUGUUUAAAUCAUUGCGGCUUGGAAUGCUCUUUAAGAAAAGGAAGAGGAAUGUCUGCGACUAAGUCAAGGGCCACUGGAUAAGGGUUGUUGAUGGCAAAACAGG